CGAAAGAAAGAUUAAUACCCGAUGUCAUAGUCCUACCGCAUGAUGGGAUUAUUAAAGAAUUUCGGUAUGGGAUGGGGAUGCGUUCCAUUAGUUAGUUGGCGGGGUAACGGCCCACCAAGACAACGAUGGAUAGGGGUUCUGAGAGGAAGGUCCCCCACAUUGGAACUGAGACACGGUCCAAACUCCUACGGGAGGCAGCAGUGAGGAAUAUUGGUCAAUGGACGAGAGUCUGAACCAGCCAAGUAGCGUGAAGGAUGACUGCCCUAUGGGUUGUAAACUUCUUUUAUAUGGGAAUAAAAUGUUCCACGUGUGGGAUUUUGUAUGUACCAUAUGAAUAAGGAUCGGCUAACUCCGUGCCAGCAGCCGCGGUAAUACGGAGGAUUCGAGCGUUAUCCGGAUUUAUUGGGUUUAAAGGGAGCGUAGGUGGAUUGUUAAGUCAGUUGUGAAAGUUUGCGGCUCAACCGUAAAAUUGCAGUUGAGACUGGCAGUCUUGAGUACAGUAGAGGUGGGCGGAAUUCGUGGUGUAGCGGUGAAAUGCUUAGAUAUCACGAAGAACUCCGAUUGCGAAGGCAGCUCACUGGACUGCAACUGACACUGAGGCUCGAAAGUGUGGGUAUCAAACAGGAUUAGAUACCCUGGUAGUCCACACAGUAAACGAU
rnacentral:rRNA from 1 species